rnacentral:rRNA from 1 species
CGGACGGGUGAGUAAUGCCUAGGAAUCUGCCUGGUAGUGGGGGACAACGUUUCGAAAGGAACGCUAAUACCGCAUACGUCCUACGGGAGAAAGCAGGGGACCUUCGGGCCUUGCGCUACCAGAUGAGCCUAGGUCGGAUUAGCUAGUUGGUGAGGUAAUGGCUCACCAAGGCGACGAUCCGUAACUUGUCUGAGAGGAUGAUCAGUCACACUGGAACUGAGACACGGUCCAG